AGUCCUGCCCCUCCUG
rnacentral:tRNA from 11 species